UACGUAGGGUGCGAGCGUUGUCCGGAAUUACUGGGCGUAAAGAGUUCGUAGGCGGUUUGUCGCGUCGUUCGUGAAAACUUGGGGCUUAACUCCAAGCGUGCGGGCGAUACGGGCAGACUUGAGUACUACAGGGGAGACUGGAAUUCCUGGUGUAGCGGUGAAAUGCGCAGAUAUCAGGAGGAACACCGGUGGCGAAGGCGGAUCUCUGGGCCUUACCUGACGCUGAGGCGCGAAAGCUAGGGGAGCGAACAGG
rnacentral:rRNA from 1 species